rnacentral:rRNA from 1 species
CACGUAGGGCGCAAGCGUUGUCCGGAAUUAUUGGGCGUAAAGAGCUCGUAGGCGGUCUGUUGCGUCCGCUGUGAAAACUCGGGGCUUAACCCCGAGCCUGCAGUGGAUACGGGCAGACUAGAGGUAGGUAGGGGAGAAUGGAAUUCCCGGUGUAGCGGUGAAAUGCGCAGAUAUCAGGAAGAACACCCGUGGCGAAGGCGGUUCUCUGGGACGGUACUGACGCUGAGACGCGAAAGCGUGGGGAGCGAACAGG